UGACAUUGUUUUCAAUAACUCGGAGUUGAAAAUAAUAAAUCAAUCGUAAGAAUUUUUCAACAAUAAAAUGACUCCAACAGAAUUACAAAUCAUUCAAAAAACUAUCAGUGAGAUGAAAGAGAUGUUAGGUGUUAAAGAUAAUGACAAUAGUCAUUGGAAAGUGGUUCAGAAAAUGAGACAAUUGGAAGAACAGGAGAAACAAUUAAAAGAAAAAUUAGAGUUCUUCAAGAAUUUUGUCAACAACUACAGGGAGAGCAUCAACAAAUCAAAAACUCAACGCAGAAAUUAUUCCGAUCGUAGAGGAAGACG